rnacentral:rRNA from 1 species
GGACGAACGCUGGCGGCGUGCUUAACACAUGCAAGUCGAACGAUGAAGCUGGAGCUUGCUCCGGUGGAUUAGUGGCGAACGGGUGAGUAACACGUGAGAAAUCUGCCCUUGACUCUGGGAUAACUGCGGGAAACUGUAGCUAAUACCGGAUACUUUCCUUGGUGGGCAUCCACUGGGGAAGAAAGAAUUUCGGUCAAGGAUGAUCUCGCGGCCUAUCAGCUUGUUGGUGAGGUAAUGGCUCACCAAGGCGACGACGGGUAGCCGGCCUGAGAGGGUGACCGGCCACACUGGGACUGAGACACGGCCCAGACUCCUACGGGAGGCAGCAGUGGGGAAUAUUGCACAAUGGGCGCAAGCCUGAUGCAGCAACGCCGCGUGAGGGACGAAGGCCUUCGGGUUGUAAACCUCUUUUAGCAGGGAAGAAGCGAAAGUGACGGUACCUGCAGAAAAAGCACCGGCUAACUACGUGCCAGCAGCCGCGGUAAUACGUAGGGUGCAAGCGUUGUCCGGAAUUAUUGGGCGUAAAGAGCUCGUAGGCGGUUUGUCACGUCUGCUGUGAAAUUUCGAGGCUCAACCUCGAACUUGCAGUGGGUACGGGCAGGCUAGAGUGCGGUAGGGGAGAUGGGAAUUCCCUGGUGUAGCGGUGGAAUGCGCAGAUAUCAGGAGGAACACCAAUGGCGAAGGCACAUCUCUGGGCCGUAACUGACGCUGAGGAGCGAAAGCGUGGGGAACAAACAGGAUUAGAUACCCUGGUAGUCCACGCCGUAAACGGUGGGUGCUAGCUGUGGGCCACAUUCCACGUGGUCCGUGACGAAGUUAACACAUUAAGCACCCCGCCUGGGGAGUACGGCCGCAAGGCUAAAACUCAAAGGAAUUGACGGGGGCCCGCACAAGCGGCGGAGCAUGCGGAUUAAUUCGAUGCAACGCGAAGAACCUUACCAAGGCUUGACAUAUAGAGGAAAAGUGCAGAAAUGUACUCCCCGCAAGGUCUCUAUACAGGUGGUGCAUGGUUGUCGUCAGCUCGUGUCGUGAGAUGUUGGGUUAAGUCCCGCAACGAGCGCAACCCUCGUCCUAUGUUGCCAGCACGUAAUGGUGGGAACUCAUGGGAUACUGCCGGGGUCAACUCGGAGGAAGGUGGGGAUGACGUCAAAUCAUCAUGCCCCUUAUGUCUUGGGCUUCACGCAUGCUACAAUGGCCGGUACAGAGGGCUGCAAUACCGUAAGGUGGAGCGAAUCCCAAAAAGCCGGUCUCAGUUCGGAUUGAGGUCUGCAACUCGACCUCAUGAAGUCGGAGUCGCUAGUAAUCGUAGAUCAGCAACGCUACGGUGAAUACGUUCCCGGGCCUUGUACACACCGCCCGUCAAGUCACGAAAGUCGGUAACACCCGAAGCCGGUGGCCUAACCGUAAGGAAGGAGCCGUCGAAGGUGGGAUUGGUGAUUGGG